rnacentral:rRNA from 1 species
UAGUUGGUGAAGUGAUUUGUCUGCUUGAUUGCGAUAACGAACGAGACCACCGUCUUUAAAUACACACUGUUUGGUUCGCCAAGCUGCGGUGUUCUUAAAGAGACUGCCGGUGCGAGCCGGAGGAAGUUGGUGGCUAUAACAGGUAAGUGAAGUGAGCGAGCGGACAGUCUAGUAGUCGUCGAGGAUACUAACCCCUCUCUAGGU